rnacentral:rRNA from 1 species
CCUACGGGUGGCAGCAGUGGGGAAUAUUGGGCAAUGGGGGCAAGUCUGACCCAGCAACGCCGCGUGAAGGAAGAAGGCUUUCGGGUUGUAAACUUCUUUUCUCAGUGACGAAGCAAGUGACGGUAUCUGAGGAAUACGCCACGACUAACUACGUGCCAGCCGCCGCGGUAAUACGGAGGGGGCAAGCGUUCUCCGGAUUUACUGGGUGUAAAGGGGGUGUAGGCGGGGUCGUAAGUCAGAGGUGAAACCCACGGGCUCAACCUUUUGCCUGCAUUUGAAACUGUGUUGCUUGAGUACCGGAGAGGCAGACGGAAUUCCGAGUGUAGAGGUGAAAUGCGUAGAUAUUAGGAGGAACACCAGUGGCGAAGGUG